rnacentral:rRNA from 1 species
GAUGAACGCUGGCGGCGUGCCUAAUACAUGCAAGUCGAACGAGUUCUCGUUGAUGAUCGGUGCUUGCACCGAGAUUCAACAUGGAACGAGUGGCGGACGGGUGAGUAACACGUGGGUAACCUGCCCUUAAGUGGGGGAUAACAUUUGGAAACAGAUGCUAAUACCGCAUAGAUCCAAGAACCGCAUGGUUCUUGGCUGAAAGAUGGCGUAAGCUAUCGCUUUUGGAUGGACCCGCGGCGUAUUAGCUAGUUGGUGAGGUAAUGGCUCACCAAGGCGAUGAUACGUAGCCGAACUGAGAGGUUGAUCGGCCACAUUGGGACUGAGACACGGCCCAAACUCCUACGGGAGGCAGCAGUAGGGAAUCUUCCACAAUGGACGCAAGUCUGAUGGAGCAACGCCGCGUGAGUGAAGAAGGCUUUCGGGUCGUAAAACUCUGUUGUUGGAGAAGAAUGGUCGGCAGAGUAACUGUUGUCGGCGUGACGGUAUCCAACCAGAAAGCCACGGCUAACUACGUGCCAGCAGCCGCGGUAAUACGUAGGUGGCAAGCGUUAUCCGGAUUUAUUGGGCGUAAAGCGAGCGCAGGCGGUUUUUUAAGUCUGGUGUGAAAGCCCUCGGCUUAACCGAGGAAGCGCAUCGGAAACUGGGAAACUUGAGUGCAGAAGAGGACAGUGGAACUCCAUGUGUAGCGGUGAAAUGCGUAGAUAUAUGGAAGAACACCAGUGGCGAAGGCGGCUGUCUGGUCUGUAACUGACGCUGAGGCUCGAAAGCAUGGGUAGCGAACAGGAUUAGAUACCCUGGUAGUCCAUGCCGUAAACGAUGAAUGCUAGGUGUUGGAGGGUUUCCGCCCUUCAGUGCCGCAGCUAACGCAUUAAGCAUUCCGCCUGGGGAGUACGACCGCAAGGUUGAAACUCAAAGGAAUUGACGGGGGCCCGCACAAGCGGUGGAGCAUGUGGUUUAAUUCGAAGCAACGCGAAGAACCUUACCAGGUCUUGACAUCUUUUGAUCACCUGAGAGAUCAGGUUUCUCCUUCGGGGGCAAAAUGACAGGUGGUGCAUGGUUGUCGUCAGCUCGUGUCGUGAGAUGUUGGGUUAAGUCCCGCAACGAGCGCAACCCUUAUGACUAGUUGCCAGCAUUUAGUUGGGCACUCUAGUAAGACUGCCGGUGACAAACCGGAGGAAGGUGGGGAUGACGUCAAAUCAUCAUGCCCCUUAUGACCUGGGCUACACACGUGCUACAAUGGAUGGUACAACGAGUUGCAAGACCGCGAGGUCAAGCUAAUCUCUUAAAGCCAUUCUCAGUUCGGACUGUAGGCUGCAACUCGCCUACACGAAGUCGGAAUCGCUAGUAAUCGCGGAUCAGCACGCCGCGGUGAAUACGUUCCCGGGCCUUGUACACACCGCCCGUCACACCAUGAGAGUUUGUAACACCCGAAGCCGGUGGCGUAACCCUUUUAGGGAGCGAGCCGUCUAAGGUGGGACAAAUGAUUAGGGUG